rnacentral:rRNA from 1 species
GAUGAACGCUAGCUACAGGCUUAACACAUGCAAGUCGAGGGGAAACGACAUCGAAAGCUUGCUUUUGGUGGGCGUCGACCGGCGCACGGGUGAGUAACGCGUAUCCAACCUGCCCACCACUUGGGGAUAACCUUGCGAAAGUAAGACUAAUACCCAAUGAUAUCCCACGAAGGCAUCCGAAUGGGAUUAAAGAUUUAUCGGUGAUGGAUGGGGAUGCGUCUGAUUAGCUUGUUGGCGGGGUAACGGCCCACCAAGGCGACGAUCAGUAGCCGGUCUGAGAGGAUGAACGGCCACAUUGGAACUGAGACACGGUCCAGACUCCUACGGGAGGCAGCAGUGGGGAAUAUUGGGCAAUGGGGGAAACCCUGACCCAGCAACGCCGCGUGAAGGAAGAAGGCCCUCGGGUUGUAAACUUCUUUACCAGGGACGAAGGACGUGACGGUACCUGGAGAAAAAGCAACGGCUAACUACGUG